UACGAAGGGGGCGAGCGUUGUUCGGAAUUACUGGGCGUAAAGGGCGCGCAGGCGGCUCUGCAAGUCAGAUGUGAAAGCCCCGGGCUUAACCUGGGAAUUGCAUUUGAUACUCUGGAGCUUGAGUGUGGGAGAGGAGAGUGGAAUUCCCAGUGUAGAGGUGAAAUUCGUAGAUAUUGGGAAGAACACCGGUGGCGAAGGCGGCUCUCUGGACCACAACUGACGCUGAGGCGCGAAGGUCAGGGGAGCAAACGGG
rnacentral:rRNA from 1 species